AUUGAACGCUGGCGGCAGGCCUAACACAUGCAAGUCGAACGAGUGGCGGACGGGUGAGUAAUGUCUGGGAAACUGCCUGAUGGAGGGGGAUAACUACUGGAAACGGUAGCUAAUACCGCAUACCAUCAGAUGUGCCCAGAUGGGAUUAGCUUGUUGGUGGGGUAACGGCUCACAAAGGCGACGAUCACUAGCUGGUCUUGGAGGAUGACGAGCGACACGGGAACUGAAAGACGGUCCAGACUCCUACGGGAGGAAGCAGUGGGGAAUAUUACACAAUGGGCGAAAGCCUGAUGCAGCAGUGCCGCGUGUAUGAAGAAGGCCUACGGGUUGUAAAGUACAUUCAGCGGGGAGGCGUUACCCGCAGAAGAAGCACCGGCUAACUCCGUGCCAGCCGCCGCGGUAAUAC
rnacentral:rRNA from 1 species